rnacentral:rRNA from 1 species
AUUGAACGCUGGCGGCAGGCCUAACACAUGCAAGUCGAACGAGUGGCGGCCGGGUGAGUAAUGUAUGGGAAACUGCCCGAUGGAGGGGGAUAACGACUGGAAACGGUGGCUAAUACCGCAUACCAUCGGAUGAGCACAGCUGGGAUUAGCUAGUAGGUGGGGUAACGGCUCACCUAGGCGACGAUCCCUAGCUGGUCUGAGAGGAUGAACCGCCACACUGGAACUGAGACACUGACCAGACUCCUACGGGAGGCAGCAGUGGGGCAUAUUGCACAAUGGGCGCGAGCGUGAUGCAGCCAUGCCGCGUGUAUGAAGAGGGCCUUCGGGUUGUAGAGUACUUUCAGCGAGGAGGCGGUACUCGAAGAAGAAGCACCGGCUAACUCCGUGCCAGCCGCCGCGGUAAUUC